rnacentral:rRNA from 1 species
UACGUAGGGAGCUAACGUUGUUCGGAAUUACUGGGCAUAAAGAGCUCGUAGGAGGUUUGGAAAGUCAGAUGUGAAAUCCCCCGGCUUAACCGGGGAACUGCAUCUGAAACUGCCUUACUUGAGUGUAGGAGAGGAGAGCGGAACUCUUGGUGGAGCGGUGAAAUGCGUUGAUAUCAAGGGGAACGCCGGUGGCGAAAGCGACUCUCUGGCCUAUUACUGACUCUGAGGAGCGAAAGCUAGGGGAG